AUCGAUCCUUCUUCUCCACUCGUUUAAUAUUUCAUUUCUUCUUUCUUCUCCCCACCACCACCAGCAGCUCCUCUGAUCGCAGCACCACCACUAAGCCACUGUCACUUCAAGAUCUGCCACGAUCACCGUCGCCUCUUCCUCUAGCACCUCAUCCUCCUUCUCUCAGACCGUCGUACCCGUUAUCGAUUUAUGAUCCUCCAUCAACGCCAGAUCCGCCUCCUCUUCGUCCUCCUUCCUCACCAGCGCCACUUGCACCUUCUCCAACUCCAAUACAAUCAAAUCUCACUUCUAAACCACCUCCACCAUCACCACCGCCAAUUUUACGACGUUCAAUUAGUUCCGGUAUGAUUAAUUUUGGUUGAUUUUUAAUUUAUACUGAUUUUGUUCAAUUGGUAUUUAAUCUCUCAAUGAAAAUUUUAGUUUGAUCAGAUCCAAUUUGUUUUUGAAAAAUUUAGCGAUUUUUCUUUUUAAUUCUCAUAGAUUGUUAUCCCAUCGAUUGGAUGGAAUUUUGCUCCUAAGAAAUGAUUUAGAUCUUCUUAACAUUAAAUCAAAUUGAAAUAUCUAAAAGGAUACAAAAUGGAAGGGUAUCUCUUUGAAGGAUAAAUUUAGGGGGAACUCAUUUGGAAUGUGGAAGAAAUGAUUCGUAAAAAUUGGGAGUUGGGUUUUAUUAUCGCAAACAUAAUCUGUCAUCGGAAGAUUAUGAAGAUAAAGCACAUAACUGCAAAAGUAAAAAGGAGGAAUUCAAGACGUUCAAGAUGGAAAAAUGCGGAGACUGGUGCGAGCAUUUUUACUGUGAAUCGAUACGUUAAUGGUGGUGGUGUACAUGGAUGGAACAUCAGGCGUACACUGACUAUGGCCUUGACUUGAGGAUCAUAUUUAACUUGGUAUUUCAGGUACGCUUAACGUAACCUUUUUUUCAUAUGUGCCAAACUAAUUAGUACAAUGAAUUUUACAAGAGUACAUGUAACUUAGGUAUGACAAUUUACUACUAUGAAUAAGUGGAUUCUAUUAAGAGCUGUGUGGUAGCUAUAAACGUUUAUGAAAAUUGAAAGGAGCAAUGUAGUUAGGUUAAUCUAUUUACUUGAUACCAAUGCUUUAUAAAUUUUUUUUGUAAUGUCCCUAUAUGUGCGGGAGACAUACUUAUGUGGAGCUUUAGAAGGAUGGCAUUUUGUGAUGUUUUUCAAGUAAGGAUUCCCUCUAUAACUCUCAAAACUAUUAACUAAGAUCUUAGACAAUAACAAUUGUUGAUAAUUGUGUUGUCGUCAUUAGUUGUUUCCAUUUCAUAGGUUUUCUUUGCUUUCCCAGGGGCUUCAAUUGUAGAUGCAAACAAUGAAUCUCAAAUAUCCAUGUAUAGUUUACAUCUAUGUGCUUCCACAUGUAGAUUUUACAUUAUUAUAUAAAGUUCUUAGAACUAUUUAUUUGGUUAUUCAUUUCCACGGUUUGUGUUUCACAUAGGAAGUUUAUAAUUCAAACGGACCUAAUAUUUCACAUUUGUUCUAUUGGGGUUGUUGAGUACUUACAUACCAAGUGGUACUACAUGAUGGUUUAUAUUACGAAACUUGGUUUAAUCUAAUUUUGUUUUAGUGAUAUAACAAAUUUAUGAUGAAACCAGUUUCGGUUUCAUCUAAUUUCGUUGGAACCAAUUUUGGUUUCAUCUUAUUGUGUUUCUUUUAUGAUGAAACCAAAUUUUGCUUUCACCUGAUUUUUUUCCUAGUUUAUUUGACCUGACUUGGAAGUCGGCGUGUUUCGUUUCAUCAUUGAAGUUUGUGUUGGUGACUUGGAAGUCGGCGUGUUUGGUUUCAUCAUUGAAGUUUGUGUUAGUGAAAUGACAAUAUGUGGAAAAAUGAUGAAACCAAUUUCGGCUUCAUCUAGUUUUGGUGAAACCAAUUUUGGUUUCAUUGUUUUUUCUGUUUGGUUUCAUCAUUUUUUUUCUCAUUGGUUUCAUCAUUUUGUUGAAUACUGAUCAAUGAAAUUCAUUUUUUGUGACGGUGGCGGCUGGUUGGUGGUGGUGGUCCGAAUCGACGAUGGUAGAGUCAAUUCCUAACUUAAGCAGAAGUAUGAGAAGAAGGUGUGGGAGGAUGAAGCAGAGAAAAAAUGUGGGGAUAUCUUAAUGCUUUGGAAUUUCCUUACAAAAAGGAAGAAGAUUAUAGAGUCAAUUCCCAACUUCUGGUCAACUACGUUCGGUUUUCUGGGUUUACCUUCGCUUCAAAAACUCUUGAUUGAAGAAGACAAGAAGGUUUGACUCUGAUACGUGAACUGAAAUUUAUAAGUCUAUAUGAUGAUAUUCCCUUUGAUACAUGUGAUGAUUUCCCCUGAUUUAUAUAUGUCGAGGGAUUAGUUGUUGAAACCUGACAUUCUAAUCUUUGAAUAUUUGACACUAACAUUAUGGUUUCAUCUUAUGUUUAUGAUGAAACCAAAAUCGGUUUCAUCGUAUUAAUGAUGAAACCAAAAUCAGUUUUAUCUAAUUUUUGGUCGGUGGUGGUGGUGGGCGGUCGUAGUGCUGGUGGAGGUGCGGCAGGUGGUGCUGGUUUUGGUCGGUAGUGGUCAACGAUGUUGGUGAUCGACGGUGGUGGAUAGUGGUGGUGCUGGCUGGUGGAGGUGGCUAUCGCAGUGGCGUAUGGU